AUCCCAAUUUGAUGCACUCACUAGACAAUUAGCGCAACUUGCCACUAGCCUAUCGACUGUCCAAUCAGAUAUAACUGCUACUCGUGAGGAGAGAAAGAACCUAGUUGCUAAGUUAAGCAAUUUUAAGCGAACCUCUCGUUUAACUGACACUAAUUCUGAAGCGUCUCAUAGUAGACAAUAUCAUCGUGGACAAAGUGAUCAAAAAUAUUUUCGACGCGAUCGUAGGAAUAAGGAUCAGAUUCGUAAGCGAGAACGAGAUAAUUUUGAAAUUCUUACUCAAUGGAAUGCCCUUAAACAAGAAAAUCAAUUAGUGAGUGAGUAUAUCGCGCAAUUUGAGGAAUUUCAAACCAAAUGUCAUUUAAUUAAGGAUGAAAGUAUGACUUUGAGUAGGUUUAGCCAAGGUCUGAGAGAUGAUCUUAAGCGCGAGCUUUUCCUUCGAGGUGUCACUACUCUUGAUCAUGCUUACUCUUUAACUCAAGAUUAUGAGUUGAUUAUUAGUACUCCAUAUGAAAAGCGUGGUC
rnacentral:lncRNA from 1 species